AUUUUAAAGUAGGAGUAGUGUUUAGGACAAAUUUGGUGUAGGUCAACCAGAGAUUCGAUUUUUGUAUUUGGAUUUGUGUCUGAAGACAUUUGGGCUAUAUAUCGAGCUUUUGGCUUCAGGAAAAUCCGAAGAUUUAUUUGGAGUCGUGGUUGCAUCUAGAUUUAAAUCCAGACCGCCUACAUACCCUGUGAAGGGAUCAAACCAAUGUAGUUCAACAUUUGAGAUUUUUGGUUUCGUACUGGUCACACAUUUUUUAAUUUUGUUCCAUGGAGCCUCUGUUUGGUGAAGCUUCCACCGAACUGAUUUGGACACCUGAAACGGAUGAUGUGUCAGUGUGACCAAGAGGCUUGGAUAAUUGAGUGGGCUUGGUACUCGUUGAAUAAUGCUCAACAGGAACUUGUAGCCUUGAUGAGAUCAUGUGAACCACAAACUCUUCUAAAAGCCGCUUCAUUCAACAACUGAAACUCAGAGACGUUUUUCCCAGUUUGAUAAGCUCGACAACAUUUCGAUGAUUAUCAUCUCGAGGAUAGAGACCCGUUUGCAGAUGGAAAUCGAAUGCAAUUGGGAGUCGAACUUGAACUCUUGAAGGAUUCGCCCCUCUAUAAAUGGAGAGAUGCCGCCUCCGUUUCUGCACUCCACCUUGAUCGAGAGCGCACAUUGGGAACAACAAAUUGGACGUGUGUCUUCAAGAGCUUUGACGACGUGUAGAAUUUCUCAAAGUAAGGCUCUCCACCGCAAAUUUAGAGAAGAGGUCUCCAUAUAGCUUAUUUGGGAGGUGAUCUCUUGUUCCGGCCGGCGAGUAUACAAUGGUAAAUUUUUGGGGUAUGACUGUAGCAGACCAUUUCCAGGUAACAACUUGUCCUCAAACAUUGUGUGUGGCUCUUUUGGCAUUUGGAGCAGCGUUGGGAACACAGUAGCAUCCUUGGGGCAGUGUUGAGAGCCGACAGCAUAUCGAGGAGGAUUGACCAAAGCAGACCCGAAGACAAGCUGCACUACCGCCCGUUAACACGUUGAAUGUACAGUGUAUAGGCAUCGAUAGAGAGCUAAAGAGUGAACCGGAAGACAUCCAGAAGACAAGCUACACUACCGCCCGUUAACACGCUGAACGUACAACUUAUAGGCAUCGAUAGUGAGCUAAAGAGUGAGCCGGAGGACAUCCAGAAGACGAGCUAUACUACC